UUCAUGCUCUGUCUCUCUCUGUCCCAAAAAUAAACGUUCAAAAAAAAUAAUAAUACUAUAAAAAAAAUUAAAUUUUUCAGAACGCUACAAAUAUAAGUGAAAUUACAAAUUAAAGGUAGAUCGUAAAUGUGAAAAACAAUAAAAAAAGUAGAAGAAUAUUUUGUGACAUAGUUGUGCAAAAGGGCCUCACAAAUAAUUCUUUAUAAGUGAUGGAAUAAAAAUGAAGGGUUUAAUUAUAACAGUGAUUUUGUUCACUGUAGGGCACAGUGAUAAAUUUUAUGAACAUAAGACAGACUGAAAAUAAUUGCACUGUAUGAAAAUGACAAGAGAUCAAUGACUAAAUGUAUGAAAUAGUUGAGUGACUUAAAGACAACGUAAUGGAAUAUAAUACACAAAGGACUUAAAAAGUUUACAACAAAAGAAAACAAGCUAAAAAUAUGAAGUCAUGCUUAAACUAGUCAGAAAAUGUGAGAAUAAGAUAUUAUUUAUGAUGCUGAAAGAAGAAACAGUCGAUGCUAGUUGAGAGCAUAGAGCACAAAUGACUUUCAUAAAGCAGUUUCUAAAGAUGCAUUUCAGAGUGAAGGAAGAUAAUUUCAAGCUUAAGAGGCAAGAACAAAUGCAGAAAAAUAUUACAUAGCAUGCAUAUAUGUCUAUUUAAAUGAAACACUAUCUAAAAUGAUAACAGUAGGUUUGUCUAAUUUAGAUGCUUAAAAGGAAAAACUUAAGUUCUCAAAGAAAUAAGUAUGUGAGGGGGAGUGAUAAAAAUUAAUGUGUUCUAAGGUCACUUUAUUAUUUAUUAGAAGAAUCAAGAUAUCAUCAUCUCUCUUUACAUUUGUUAUUUGUAAAAUUCCUGGCAAAAUUUCAAGUUUCACAGUACAAAAAGAAGAGUAUAGAGCAUAAAUUUCAAACUAGAAAUUGAAAAAUUUAAAUAACAAAGAAAUCAACCUCCAAACUGAAACUAUAACUCAUCAUAAAAAAGGAAAUAGGCAAAUAGUGCACAAAAUAGACAAUGGAAAAAUUAGAAUGAUGGAAACCAGUAUAAAUAUGUUUUACUGUGAUUAUAAAUGGGCUAAAUGCAGGAAUGCAUUAAAGUGAAGACAAUGGUUGCUAAUUAGGGGGAAAAAUGCAGCUCUAUUCUGGCUAGUAUAUAUAUCCACACCUAAAGGUAAAAAUCAUGAAAAGUUGAAAUUAAAAAGAUUUAAGAAUAUUUUAGUCAAAUAUUAAUAAAAAACAAGGAUUAUAUGGCUAUGUAAAUAUAAAUAUUUGCUUCUAUAGACAAAAUGUUAAUAAUAAAGUUAUUAGGUAAGAGAAAAAUAAUUUAGGGAAGAUGGAGCAGUAUAAACUCAUAUGUUUAUAAGAUAAUAAUACAUAACUUGUAUGUAAUAAGAUUUAAGUUAUUAAGAAAAAUUGAUGUGGAGAGCAAUUCGUCAUCAUCUGAUAUGUAUAAACAAAUGCCUAAUGGAUCAGCUAUCCCUCACAGAGUAACUCAAAGUCUGGAGGGGCAGGGGGAUGGGUUAAAUGGGUAAUAGGUAUUAAGGAGGACACUUAUGAUGACCACUGAGUGUUGUAUAUAAAUGAUGAAUCACUAAAUUCUACGACUGAAAUUAAUAUUACACCCUAUGUUAACUAAUUGGAAUUUAAAUAAAAACCUGAAAGAAAAAAAAAAAGUCUGAGUUGAAUACAAAAACAAUUAGAACUACCUUGAAGGUUUGGAGUGUGAACCAAAGUUGACAAUUUCUGGAAUGCUAUCUAAGAAGGAUGGAUGAAGAAUGACUGCUAAUGGGUACAAGGAAGUUAUUUGGGGGAUGAUGAAAAUACUCUAAACUUAGAUGGAGGUGUUGAUUAUACAAUUCUGUCAGUAUCCUGGAAACUGCUAAAUUAUGUAUUUUGAAAAGGUGGACAUUAUGGUUGAGAAUUAUAUCUCAAUAAGCUGUUAUGCAUAUAUAAAAAUAAAAUUUCAAGACAAAAUCAUCAUGGGGAGAAUUUCUAUUUUUCUUUGAUUUUCAGCCUGAAAUUAGGUCUCAGCCACAGCCCUGUAUGGAAGAGAUAAGAUUCUGAUAUUGCACAGAUUCUGUUCUGGCCUAAGAACAAAAGAAAGAAUUUAGGUAACGAUGGCCUCUGGGAAUUGAGUAAGUUUAGGAAAGGAAAGCCAUCAAUGUUGAGCCCACAAUCUGCUUUGUAAACUCUGCUCAAGCUUCUAAUUGACCCUUGAAACAUGCAAGCAUGGAACACACUGAAAUGAGCCUACGAAGGGGUUGGGGGGAUAACAGAAAACACAGAAAAAAAUGAGAUUCAAGCCAAAAUGUCAACCAAGAAUUAAGGAGAAAUAAAGACAUUUUCAGAUGAAAGGAAAUCAAGAGAAUUCAUCUCCAGCAGAUGUGCCGUAUAAGAAAUGCUGAGGACAUUCUUCAAAUGAAGGGAAAUUGUGUCAGAGGCAAAAUUAAAUCUCCAGGAAUGAAUGAACAGCAUCAGAAAUAGCAUGUAUCGUGGUAGAGAUAAAAGAUAUUUUUUCUCCUCUUAGUUCCACUAAUAUGCACAUGUCCUUUCAAAGCAAAUUUAAUAAUAUACUAUAUAUGGAUCUAAUGCAUAUGAUCUAGGUAGCAUAAAACACAGUGAGAUUGGAAUAUGGAUCUAUACAGUGGCAAGGUACCUUUAUUUCACAGAAAGUAGAAUAACUUAAUGAAGUGUAUUAUGCAAAGUUAAGGAUAUAUAUUGUAAUACUUAAAGCAAACAAUAAUAAUAAGCACCAAAUAGGCAUAAGUAUAAAAAACUAAAAAGGAACUCUAAAAUAACAAAAAAGGCAGGAAAGGAGGAAUAGAAGCAAAAACUAAGGGGGAUUAACAAAGGAAAUUAAACAAAAAUAGUAGAUGUAAAUAUAGCCAUAGUAACAAUUUCAUUUAACGUUAGUGAAAUGAAAAUUGUUAGAAUGGACAAAAAAUUAAGUUCUAUCUAUGUUCUAUGUAUGAUAAAUCCCUUUUAAAUAUAAAGAAACAUGAUUUGAAAAUAAAUUGAAGGAAAAUUCUAUACCAUACAAACCAAAAGAAUAAGAAAGAUGGAAUGGCUACCUUAAUAUCAGAUAAAAUAAACUUCCAACACAAAAAGUAGUUUCUGAGACAAAGGGAACAGUGUUUAUAAUGAUAAAAGGAACAGUAUAUUUUCUGACCUCAAAUCUUAUUGUAAAACUAUUUUAUAAAUCAAAACAGAAUGGUAUUGACAUAAAGAUAAUAAGGAAAUCAGUAAGCUAGAAUAGAGAACCCUGGAAUAGAUUCUCACAUUUACAAUCAUUUGAUUUUUAACAAGGGCACCAAAUCAAUCCAUUGAAGAAAGGAACGCCUUUUCAACAACUGUGCUGGCAUAACGGGGUACCCACAGAGGGAAAAAAAUACAAAAAAUAAAUAAAAUAAAAAUUUGACCAUACUUCAAACUAUACACAAAACAUAAUUUUGAGAAUACUUGUUUUAAGUUUAUUUAUUUUGAGAGAGGGAGAGAGAGAGAGAGCAAGCUCUAGUGGGAAAGGGACAGAGAGAGAGGGAUAGAGAGAAUCCUAAGUAAGCUCUGCACUGUCAGCACAGAGUUUGACAGGGGGUCUGAUCCCAUGAACCAUGACUUCAUGACCUGAGCUGAAAUCAAGAGUCUGAAGCUUAACUGACUAAGCCACCCAGGCACCCUGAGAUUAAUUUAAUUGUAAAUUAGCCACAAUGCUUUCAAAGUAAAAGAUAAGACAUGAUCUUUAUGAUUAGGAGAUGUAUAAAGUUUUUCUAGAGAAUUUAUGGAAGUAAUCAUUCAUAUAUUUACAUAUAAUCUAUCUAUAUGUAUAAUAGAUUAUAUCAAAGUAUUAAUACCUUUAUAUAUAGAUUAUAUAGAUAUAUAAAUGUUUAUUUAUGAGAGAGAGAGAGAGAGAGAGAGCAAGCAGGGGAGGGGCAGAGAGAGAGGGAGACCCAGAAUCUGAUACAGGCUCCAGGCUGGGAGCUGUCAGCAGAGAGCCCAACGCGGGGCUCCAACUCAUGGACAGGGAGCUCAGACUUGAGCUGAAGUCUCACGCUUACCAGCUGAGCCACCCAGGUGCCCCUAGGCAAUGUAUCUUAAGACCAUAAUGAAAUGCCACCUCACAUCCACCAGAAUUACUAACGUGGUAAAGAUGUAAAACAACUGGAUAUUUCAUAUAAAACUGAGCAUGAACAUUUAAACAUUUCUUGUGAAAUCCACACUUUGAUCCAGCAGUUCCACUCUUGCGUAGUUACCCAAGAAAAUGGAAAAUGUAUUCCAUAGAUUUCUACAGAAGCUUUCUUUUAAUAUCCAAAUCCUGGAAACAACUUUGGUAUCCAACAAUAGAAGAUUGAAGUAUGUUUACACAAAAUACACAGCAAACUGAAAGACUCUCAAAAUCUUAUGCUAAGAUAAGCUUUUUGCAUAGAGCAAUACUGUGUGUUUCCAUUUAUAUGGAGUUCCUAAAAUUGAUGCAUGUUUAACAAAUGUGUAUAGCUAAAUGUUUAUGACAAAUCUAGGGUGUGGUUUUAUAUGUGCUCACUAUAAAAUUCUUUCAACUUUAGUAAAUGCUUGAAUAUUUUCAUAAUAAUAAUUUCUUUUUUUUACAUGGUGCCAGGGUUUAUUUGCUUCUCCUCUAACAGAGUGAAAGAUCCCACUAAGUUAUUUUAUUAUUUUUUUUAAAUAUGAAAUUUAUUGUCAAAUUGGUUUCCAUACAACAUCUAGUGCUCAUCCCAACAGGUGCCCUCCUCAAUACUCAUUACCCAUCCCCCUCUCCCUCCCAACCCCCAUCAACCCUCAGUUUGUUCUCAGUUUUUAAUAAGAAUCUUAUAAUUUGAUAGAAAAGAAACAAGACAGAAAUUUCUAUACUCAUAUGUCACACAGGAAUUGCCAAAGAAAUAAAACAGUAUGUUUUUAGUUCUCAUCAUUGUUUGUUUGUUUUGUUUUGUUUUGUUUUUAAUCCAUAAACAGCAACAUUUAACAUUGACAAGUUGAGUUGAUAUUUUCUUUACUUGGCUUAUAAGAAACUACAUGCUCUCUCUCUCUUUUUUUUUCUUGGCAUUAUUUUACUGAGAACUACUUAAUUUUCUUUGCUGAAUCAUUUCAUGGUUUUUUUAGUCAUUGGGGUAUCCUAGAAUUAAGAAGUUCUCUUUUCUAUUUACAAAUAUUAUCUUGGUAAACUCUAUUUGGUCUCUUGCCAUAAAAUGCUAUCUACAUAUUGUCAACUCACAGUUGUAUAUCUCUUGACCAUAUCUCUCUUCUAAACUCCAGACUUUUCCUACUAGGUAUCUCUGUUACUGUCUGGAUAUCUAAUUGUCAUCAAAAACUUAAUAAUCCAUACUGAACCACUGGUGUUUUCUGAAAUAUUCUAUAUCUGUAGUCCUUCCUUAAUUAUAAUAUCAUCCUUAUUAUUGACCAAGCCAAAAUUAUCAGAGUCCUACUUUAUUAUUCUUUCUUUUUCUCUCAAACCCAGUCCUAUUGACAGAAUAGUCCACUAUCUAUCUUCAAAAUAUAUUCAGAACCUAGCCACUCAUCUCUAUCUCCGUUUCUAGGACCGUGGUUUUACUCACCAUCAUUUCUGCAUGGACUCCUGCACUUAACUAAUAACUGCCUCCUUCUACCAAGUCUAUUCUCAAUAGAGUGGAGUAAUACUAUGAAAACAGAAAGCAGAUCAUGUCAUAACUCACCAUUUCCUGUUUUGCUUUCCAAACCGGGUUGAAGAAAUAUGUGCCCUCUGACAAUGUGAUUGACUCUGCUCCCAACAAGAGGUGUGGUCUUCGUUUGCUCCCCUUCAAUCUCAGCAGAAGCUUGUGACUGUUCAUGUUAAUAGAGGAUGGCAAAGUUAUGAUAAGCAGUUCUGAAGCUUGGUUAUAAAAAUCAUAAAGCUUCCACCUGACUUCUUAUUCUUAUGAAAGGUACCAUUGGACACCUGAGCUGACAUGUAAAAAGUCCAAAUACUGUGAAAUAAAGAUGCCUAAGGAGGUUCAGCAGCCCUAGUUCUUAGCUCUUUUGGGUUUCCCCAGCACCAACCACCAGACUUGUAAGCGAAUAUGUUUUCAGAUGAUUCCACCUCUUGGUCUUUAAACUUCAGCAGAAGAUGCCAAGUGGAGCAGAGACCAACCUUUCCUGCUGUGCCUUGUCCAAAUUGCUGGCUCACAGAAUCUCUGAGCAUAAUCUAUAGUUGUUAAUUUAGCUAAAACUGGAAACUCUGUUUCCCAUAUUUCUUUUUCAUGUAUAUUUAUAAGCUGGAAUUGAUAAGAAUUGACAGUCAGAAAUAAAGAAACCAUUACUUUCUAAAGAUCUCAGGAGCAGAUCAGGUUGAGAGAGAAACAGAGGUUUACAGCAGAUUCCAGAAUCCAGGGAGUAUCCCAAAGUACUGGCCCCAGGCAACCAGGAGUGGACCCAAGUCAACUGACAAGCCCUUCACACAAGUGUCUUUAAAGGCAGCAAAUUCCACCAAUCUCUACCAGUUUGCCCUUGAUGGUUUCACCUGACAGCCAGCUAUGUAUGACUUUGAGGAUUUCCCUUGAAGCUCAACUCUGCCUGACUACAGUGACUCAGGCUGUUAUUGACAGUGAUUGUAGCUUCUCUUUCAAUUCUCACCUUUCUGACUUUCACUUACCCAGUUCCUUUCACGUUCAUGUAAAUUCUAAUUUCUAUAGUAUUCUCUUUAACCUGACAAAAUUUUUGGUAGUUCUAUUGUCCUGAUUAAACUCUAAUGCAACUAUGAAUUUAUCAUUUACUGUAUUAAAAUAUCUAUGACAAAUAUAAAUUUGUUUUUACCUCUCUGGCUUAUAUUAGAGGCUAUAUGGUUAAAUAAGAGAUCUUAAAGAAAUCCACAAAUCAAACAAUGUGAAUUAAACCUUUCAUGAUUUUAAUGCAGUAGGGCUAGUAAACUUUUUUUUGUAAAGGGUCAGAUAAUGAAUCUUUUAAAGUUUGUAGGCCUUUAUAAUCUCUGUUGCAGAAACUCAACCCUGCAAGUGCAAUACUAAAUCAGCCAUAGACAGUACAUGAAUAAAUGACUGUCACUGUGAUCUAAUGAAAUGUAAACAACAACAACAACAAAUAACUGUUAAUAGGCCAGAAUUGCUCUAUGGAUCACUGUUUGCUAAACUGUGGUUUAUAGAAUCAUGUUGAAACAACUAAAAAGAGAAGAAUCUGAGAAUCUCUUCUACUUUGGAUUCUACUCUAUUUCAAAAUUCACAAAACUGCUGUGUGCUAAAGCAUAUUUUAUUACACUUUCCUGCCUUAGUCAUUCAUUAUGUCCUAAUUUCUGACACAGAUGUGUCUUUCUUCUGACACUAAAUAACGUAGAUACUACACUUCUACUUUUGAAAUACUCAUUUCCAAUUAAAGUCUAAUUCCACAUAUCAAUUGACAAAUUACAUUGACUUAAAUUCUCACAAUCUCGUGUGUAUCCACUCAUUAUAUGCUCCAAAUAUCCUCCUGUACUUACUAUGGAAGCCUGGUAAAUGUGUGGGAUCCCCCUAUGGUGAAAUGUCAAGGGAAAUAGUGGUACAUGAAAUUCAAAUUGAUGCGGCCCCACAGUACUGAACUUUAGCUUGUCAAACAAUUGUAAGGAUUUAUUCCCUUUGCUCCAUGCUAAUAAUACAGCACUUAUGGAGUGAAAAAUAGAAAGAAUAAAUGAAACUAGUGUUCAAAGAGCCUGAAGAAUUUGUUAACAUUCACAUCUUGUGGACUUCACCUCUUUUAGGCAAUGAAAUCUCAGAUUUAUUUGGUUACCCAUAGAAGAAAACAAAUUACUGUGGCAUUCCUGAAACAUUUGUAAUUCUUUCCACAGGCGGCUUUAGAGCUUCUCCUUCAUUAAGACUGCAUUCUGUAGCUGCUGUGGUCUGUUAAAGUCACAGUAAACACUGCUGACAACCAGCUGUUCCUUUCUCGUACCAUAACCGAACUGCUUAAGGUAGAUCAUCACUUGGCUUAAAUCCACAUAUGUUAUUUUUGCCACUCAACAAUAAAAAUAUUAAUCUACAAAUAUUCCUAAUGUGAAUCUUGAGUAAUAUGACAUACUUCCCUGAGAGAAUUACAUUUCGAGUUACAAAAUCCAUUCUUAAUUAUACAUGAGAGUUAAAAUACUACUGAAUAUUUAUAUUCCUAUGUUUUGACUUUGAAUGGUGACUGGUUAAGAGGAUUUGUUUUUUUUUCCCUCCAUGUGACGUGACAUUAUUAAAAAAUUUAAAGCACUAUCAGUCAACUACAGCUGUUGAUUGUUCAAUUACACUGAGCUUAAAUUUUAGGCAUUAAAGUGAAUGUCAUCCUUCUUCCCAAGUAAAUAAUGAUACUUCCAUCUUUGAAUUCAAUUCGUGCAGAUAUUUUUAAUCUGAAGUUCACUGAGAUACAUGGACAUAUUUUAGCGUUUAAAUCCUCUGAAAUCAUAUGCACAAUUGCUCAUGCCAUUUUGUUUUUCUUUUAGGAAAAAAAAAGUCUGCAGAUUGAUAUCAGUAGAUUAAAAAAUGGAACCAUGAGUCAAACUUAUCAGUAAUAGAAAAAUGAUUGCUAUAACUUUAUGACUGAAAUAACUUCUAAUUUUUCUCUAUGUUUCAACUCGAUUUUGGUAACUUGAACUCAAAAUUAUUCUGUUUCUGGAUUUAAAGCCUUUAAAUUAACAUUUAAAGACAAUUUUCAUAUCACAUGCAGAAAGGUAUUGAAUAAUAUUUAAAAGAAAUGACAGCAGACCUAUAUCAUUUGCUAAAAUCAAUCAAUAACAUUAUGUGAUAAAUGAAUAUAUUGUAAGACAGAAUUUUUCAUUAUGUUUCUAAUAAUGACAUGUGACCCUGUGAUACAGGACAGCUACAAAAACUUGUUGUCAGUGUUGUGAUGUAAUCAAGCUUUUCAAAGGUCUGUACCAGAGCACCAACUGUUGUUUUUCUUUUUUACUAUAUGCCAUUUGUAAAAGCCCCAACAAGGUUUUGUUGGCUGCUUGAUUGAUUUUGUUGUUUAGAUGGCUUUCUCCUUCAGAGUAUUUUUAAACCAUGACGUCAAGUCUUUGGAGCCUGCUCAUCUAGCAAAUAGGUCUGGGUUAGGCUAGAAGAGAGCUAAUAGGGCAUAUUUCUAAUUAUCCUUAUAUCACAUUCAAAUUAAAAAUAAAAUAGGAUCCAGUUUCAAAAGACUGAAUAGAAGAAAAGAUGGUUAACCUUCCUGUACCUUUAGUUUUAUCAUUUGUAAAAUCUCUUCUAGCUUGAAAAUGCUAUGAUUUCAGUUUCAAGAAACAUCCAGCAAGUGAAUCAUAAGAACAAUACCGCAUUGAUCAGGAUAAUGGUUUGAGUAGGAAGUAAUAAUGAGUGUUGAUGACCCCCUCAGAGGACCCAAGCUAUUAAACAUCUAAGGUCAAUUUCAACCAUCAGAUAUUUUCACUUCAACUACCAAGUGAAUUUAUUUGAGCAGAAUCUGGGCCUGUGUACUUGAAUCAAUAAUAUACAAUGAACACAGAGUUAUGAUGUCUCAUGCUAAUGAAGCAGAGAACCGAUCUUUAUUCUUCAGGCUUAUUGGAUUGACCUAAGAACAGGACUUGCUAAAUUUUAUAAUUGGUGGAUGAUCUACUCUUCACUGUUAUAGAACAAGACAGAAAAAUAAAGACUCCAGUAGAGGUAUAUCAGAGGUAUCAAUCUUCUGAUGUGAAAUAAAUAUGUAAGUGCUUCCAAACUGAGAUGGUCUGCUGAAAAAGAACAUAACUUCUGUUAGAGUUUAACUAUAUUGCAACAUUUGGCUAUAUAUUCCCUAUUAAAUGUACAGAAAUUUUAAUUAUGGAAGUUCAUUUUCCUUUCAUUUAUAUAUUUCAUACCAGAAGAAUCAACACCUUUUUUCAGUGAAAUAGCACAAAUGAACGUUAGUAUUUAGAAAUAUAUUUAGCUACAAUUGUCAAUGCUAUUAAAGUAAUAUAAAAAUGCUAAUGAGGAAGAUACUUCCAUCAAAAUAUAUUUAAAAGUAAGCCUCAGUGAUUAAGAUUAAUAAAUACAAAUAUAAUACAAAACACCCACAGACAAGAAUUACAAAUAUAAGAGGUGGAAAUCAUUAUAUCUCUUCUCUUUGUCAUCCAUUAUGGUCAGUUAGAAUGUGCUUCUAGAUCACCUUUACUGGAAUAACUAUCUUAAGAUUUUUUUGUUGUCUUUAAUUUAAGACUUUUGAGAAUCAUGGUUUACUAUUGCAAGGUAGAAGCUAUGAGCAUUGAUUAUAUUAAUGAAUACAAAAAUUGAACAUCUAAACUGAUUUACAUUUUAAACUAUAUCUACUUAUUGAAGAAAAAAAGUAGAUCUAAAAUAUGGAAAAAAGAGAAGAUGAAAGUGAUUUUGUGUGAGAGGAUCUACCAUUAUAAAUAAGCCUUUGAAAAAAUAAAUGCAGUUGUGACUCAGUCGGUUAAGCAUUGACUCUUGAUUUUGGCUCACAUCAUGGUACCACGUGAGAUAAAGCCCUGUGUUGGACUAUGCACUGACAGGGCAAAGCCUUCUUGGGAUUCUCUGUCCCUUCCCCACUCAACAUGUUCUUACUCUCUCUCUCUCAAAAGAAAUAAACAUUGAAAAAAAGAAAAAAGAAAUGAUAAAGAGGAUAUUUGGGUGCUUUUCCAUGGGUGCAUCUCACGAUGCAGUUCCUCUUUUUUGAGCCUUUUCAGGGAAAAUGGAGAAUAUUUUAAUUGUUUUAUAAUACUUUUUAGAUACCUGAUUUAAUUUUUAAUAGAAAACCAAGAAAAGUUAUCCCUAUGAUUAUAUUGUUGUUUUUUUUAACUUACUAAGAGUAACAUAAGAUUUGGGGGAGGAGGAACCUCAAUCUUUAAGUAACAUAAAAUUUUGGGGGAGGAGGAGCCUCAAUCUUUAAAAACUGAUUCAGUUCAAAAGUCUCAUUUUAUUUGUGAAAAAUAUAUGCAAAAAUUAACUUUAUUGAAGUAUAACAUUAAGUAAAUUAAAAAUUUUGCUUUCCAUUUUAGUGUUUUUCCCUAAUUUCAGAGUUACCUGUGUCUGAGAAUCUGAUAAUGAGAUAGGAAUUAGAAAGUGUUAUAAUCUCAAGUAUGACACCCUUCAAAUCCUGACUAAAUUACCUUGAUUCUUUUCAUACAAGAGAACCAUAACAUCAAAACUGGAAGCUGAAAUAUCCUUCAACUGUUGAAUGAUAACCUACUAUGGUACAUGAAAUAAUAUAUGGAAUACUAUUCAGCAAUAAAGAGGAAUGAACUAUUGAUACACAAAUCAACAUAGAUGAAUUUCAAAUGCAUUACAAGUGAAAGAAGUCAGACUCGAAAGUGUACAUAUUAUGAUUCCAUUUGACAUUCUGUAAAAGUUAAAAUUAUAGUGACAGAGAACAUUCCUGCUUUCCAUGGUUUGAGGAUAAGUGGAGUGGUUGAAUCAAGGAGAAGGAUAACAGAAUUUUUUUGCAUGAUGGAACUAUUUUGUAUCUUGAUUGUGAUGGCAUAUGUUACAUGAUUUUAUAUAUUUAUCAAAAGUCAUAGAACUGUCCACUAAAGAGAAUGAACUUCUUGAAUGCAAAUUUAAAACAAUAAAUUAAGUUGCACAGCUAAAGUACUUUUCAUAGUCUAUGUAGUUUUCAUGAAAAAUUUAUGCUUUGUUAAUUUAGUGAGUACACUAUAAUUUAUUGAACUUUCACUUUAUUGAUGAAUACUUAGCUAACUUCUGAUAUUUCAGUGUUAUAGCUCUGCAUUGGGUUUCCUUAAAUAUGUUCUUUAAUGUUCAGAGCUUCUUUAAAACAUAAUGCCUAUUACCUUCUGAAGGGACUAAAUUGAAUGUCACAUGACUAAUGAUUAUAUUAUUUUUCCAUUAUCCUUAUCCCAGUUGGGCAUUUUCAUUCAUUUUUCCCCUUUUAAGUAAGAUAAAAUACAAAGAAUAUAAAAUUUGCCAUCUUAACCAUUUAAAGUGUACAGUUGUAAUGUUACUACAUUCAAACUGUUGUGUAAUCACAGAAAAUCACAGAAAUUACCAGAACUCAUUUCAUGUUGCACACCUAAAACUCUAUACCCACUAAACAAUAACUCCUCAUUCUCUUCUCCACCUAGCCUCUGGAAACCACCAUUCUACUUUCUAUGAUUUAAACUACUCUAAGUACUUUAUGUAAAUAGAAUUAUAUAGUAUUUAUCUUCUUGAGAAUGGCUUAUUCACUUACUAUAAUGUCUUUAAGGUUAAUGCAUAUUAUAACAUAUGUGACAAUUUUCUUCCUUUUUAGUGCUGAAUAGUAUUUUAGUUUAUGUAUGUAAAUGAUAUUUUGCUUAUCCAUUCAUCUGCCCAUUUGGGUUGUUUCCACAUUUUAGUUGCUAUGGAUAAUGCUACUAAGAACAUGGCUGUACAAAUAUCUCUUUGAGACCUUGCUUUCAAUGCUUAUGGCUAUACCCAGAAAUGCAAUUGUUGGCUCACAGGGUAACCCUAUUCUUAAUUUUUGAGGAACCAUUAUUUUUUUU